rnacentral:rRNA from 1 species
UCCGUAGGUGGAUAAUUAAGUCAGAGGUGAAAUCCUGCAGCUCAACUGUAGAAUUGCCUUUGAUACUGGUUAUCUUGAGUCAUUAUGAAGUGGUUAGAAUGUGUAGUGUAGCGGUGAAAUGCAUAGAUAUUACACAGAAUACCGAUUGCGAAGGCAGAUCACUAAUAAUGUACUGGCACUGAGGGACGAAAGCGUGGGGAGCGAACAGGAUUAGAUACCCUGGUAGUCC